rnacentral:rRNA from 1 species
AGCAUAAUCAUUAGUCUAUUAAUUGUGGACUGGAAUGAAUGGCUGGACGAGAUAUUGACUGUCUCAUAUUAAUAUAUUUAACUUUAUUUCUGAGUCAAAAAGCUUAGAUUGUAUUGUGGGACGAGAAGACCCUAUAGAUCUUUAGAUUGAUUUUUGCUAURUGGUUUUGUUUAUUAUUAAUUAGUAUGGAUUUUUCUUUUGUUGGGGUGACAUAGAGAUAUUAGGUAACUCUUUAUUUUAUUAUACAAUGAUGUUUGCUUAUAUGACCUUUUAAUAUAGUUAUAAGAUAGAGAUACCUUAGGGAUAACAGCGUGAUUUUCUUUGAGAGUUCUUAUCGACAAGGGAGAUUGCGACCUCGAUGUUGAAUUAAGAAUAGCCUUAGGUGYAGAAGCUUAUUGGU